rnacentral:rRNA from 1 species
UACGUAGGCAGCGGGCGUUGUUCGGAAUUACUGGGCGUAAAGAGCGUGUAGGCGGCCGCACAGGUCCGUUGUGAAAACUGGAGGCUUAACCUUCAGACGUCGAUGGAAACCGUGCGGCUAGAGUCCGGAAGAGGAGAAUGGAAUUCCUGGUGUAGCGGUGAAAUGCGCAGAUAUCAGGAAGAACACCCGUGGCUAAGGCGGUUCUCUAGUACGGUACUGACGCUGAGACGCGAAAGCGUGGGGAGCAAACAGG